GCCCGAGGCAGCAGUGGCAACCCACCCAGGUCCGUUUCCACACUGUGGAAGCUUUGUUCUUUCACUCUUUGCAAUAAAUCUGGCUGCUGCUCACUCUUUGGGUCCACACUUCUUGUAUGAGCUGUAACACUCACUGCGAAGGUCUGCAGCUUCACUCCUGAGGCCAGCGAGACCUCGAACCCACCGGGAGGAAUGAACAACUCUGGACAGGAGGAAUGAACAACUCUAGAUGUGCUGCCUUAAGAGCCGUAACACUCACCAACAGGGUCUGCAGCUUCAUUCUUGAAGUCAGUGAGACCAAGAAUCCACCAAUUCCAGACACAUUUUGGCGACCAGAUGGGACUAUCGCCAAGCGGUGAGACCAUUGCCUAUGGCUGAGCAGUGAGACUGUCACCUAUCGCCAAGCAGAGUUUGAGAAUUUUCAGCUGGGAGC
rnacentral:lncRNA from 1 species